rnacentral:rRNA from 1 species
ACGCUCGACACCUACGGGAGCAGCAGUGGGGAAUAUUGCACAAUGGGGGAAACCCUGAUGCAGCGACGCCGCGUGAGCGAAGAAGUAUUUCGGUAUGUAAAGCUCUAUCAGCAGGGAAGAUAAUGACGGUACCUGACUAAGAAGCUCCGGCUAAAUACGUGCCAGCAGCCGCGGUAAUCUGAGGCGGGCUGGCAAGGC